CAUUCCGACAUCCAAGUCUCGUUUAGACACUAAUAGAGAAAGUUCUCUUGCAGCCUGUCAGUGCAAGCAACUUUCCUUUUUCUGUUUCACUUUUCUGUCCCCAAAAAUGGAAAUGUCUUGUUACUAAAGUUACACAACAUAUACUCGUUUUCUCGUCUACUUUUUUUGAGUCCUUUUGACUCCAAGGUUAAUCUCCAUAAUUCCAAUUUUGUAUCUAUCCCUACUUUUUGUUCCAUCCACUAAAUAUUAUCAUUAGCAAAUUGUACGUGCUAUGCACCAAGGGAGAUUUUGAAUGUCUCUUGUCAGCUGAUCUAUGAUGACCGCUAAUAAAUGUGGGCUUAAAGCUGGUCUUGAUGUAAUUACAAAUCCAAUUGUAACUAGGAAUUCACUACUUUGCCACCAUAGUUCUUGCACUGGUCAAGACACCGUUAAACGCAACAUUAAGUAUGUCCACAUAUUUACUCAACACAAUUUUCUUAUCUAACAAUUGUUACAUUAACUCCAUAGGGUUUCUAUCGUAAGAUUUUUCAAGUUAAUAAAGACCAUAGGGAGAUCCUCUUUACAGUAGUUAAAUCUUUUCAUUAGUCUCUUAAGCAAAUAAAUAGUUGUCCUUUGCGGAGUUCUAAAUCUAGAUCUCUUAGCCUUAAUGGAUGUUUGAACUUCACAAUCCCACCACUAAUUUUCUAGGUGAAUGUCAUUUCCUUUAGAUUAGCCUAAGACUUCUUCAUCUAUAUUCUUAAUAUAAGUAGCCAUCUCAUUCCAUAUUAUGGUAGUGUCUCCAUCAAAGUCCCUUUUUCUAUGCUUUACUAAUUUAUCAAUAAAUUUCUUCAGUUGUGCUCCUCUUAAGUUCCACCAUCUUAUCCUAGGUCAAAUGAUUCACAUUUCUUACGAUUUAAUGUUUUAAAAUACAUAUUUGUGACCAUUAAUCAAGAGGUUUUAAGAUAAGUAGAUCAAAGAUGGAUUAUAUAAUGUGUAACUUUAGUCACACUAUGAUGGAUUACCGAUAUGGUGAAAAUUGAGGAGAGAGAGAGUUUCCACCAAGUGAUUAUUUUAGAUAUAUGGGGUCAACUACAAAUAAAGAAGGUGACAAAGAGGAUGAUGUUGCAUAGAGAAUUAAGGGAAGUACAUUUUUGCAUUUUCUAAAACAGAAAAAAAAGCAUGCAAAAAAAAAAAAAAAAAAUAUGACACCAUGAAUGCGUAGAUCAGGCCAUUCUAACUAACAUAUAAAAUUUUGACGUCAUUCUAUUAUAUUUAUAAGUGUAUUGUAAAAAUUUUUUUUUGGGGGAAAAAUGGGGUUUACAUUUUUGCUCAAAGAACCCUUCCUUAGGUAGAUAUGCUUUGGUUGUGUAAGAUACUAAGAUCUAAGUGUAGAAUGAAGCUUUGAUGAAGAAAUCCUCAAAUCUUGGCUGAUUUUCAAUGUUUCCCACUUCGCACAGUGGAAAAAGGGGAGCCAUAUUUCGAAAUAUCUUGGAAAGGGCUUCUUUCCCACGAGACAAGCCCUUUUAUAAGGGAUGGUUGGACCAAACUGUUUGUACACAUCGGUUUGGUCGAAAUUUCGACCACAUGUGUCGAUAUGGCUUGAAACUUCAUACUUGUUUAAGUACCUUGUGGUUUCAUCUCGGUCUCAUGCGAAAUGGUUGAAAUUUCGACCAUUUUGAUUGAAAUAAUGAACCAUGGUUCUUGGUCCCAUGCAAAAAGGUUUGGCUAAGAUUUCCACAAUGCUAGCUAUCGACCUGACACCCCAACCCUCAUCCUUUAUCCAGGCUUGAGACCGGUAGCACAAAACAGUAGCAGAGUUAUUUUGCUCCGAUAUCAUAGUUAUCAAGGCCUAGGCGACCCAAGGCAUUGGAGGCCGCUUAGGAGAUAAUGCGCUCGCCUAGGUGCUCUAGCAUUAGCAUAACAGUAGUAAAACUUACACCAACAACAACAUUACAACAACCACAAUACAGAUUGAAUCUAUACACUAGUUUGCCAUAUAUCUUGCAACAUUGUUACCACAUUACAGCAUCAAUAAUAUAGCAAAUCAAUGAAUAUAUGUUACUAUUAGCAACAACGUUAUAACAACAAAAAGCACAGUGAAUAUAUGCUACUAUUUGCACUAACAGUGAACAAAGUACACUUUGCACGUCUCAGGGAGGAGAUGGCAGAGAGAGGGUUAGACAUGGGAGAGAAAGGGAGAGAAGCAGGAGGCUUUCGUGGUGUCAGGGUUUCAGGGAAGAGUUUUGAGAUGGAGAAAGAGGGGGGGGGUUGGGUAAGAGAAGAGAGCAGGAAGACUAUGAGUAGAAGAAGAAGAAGAAGAAGGUACAUGUCAUCAGAGUUGAGGUGAAUCACCACUCGUUGAAUUCCCCGCCUGCGAAAGAGUGGAAUCACAUAGGCUCAGCAGUAGUGGGGUUAGGGUUGAAGUUGGGAGAUUACGAUAAACGCCUUCCUUUCUAUAUAUAUAUACAUUUUUUUUUUUUAAACUAUGAUUGAGUGUAUCACACUGUACCCUAAUGAUAUACGUAAACCAAUACGUGAGUUAGAAAAGGAUUCUAAUUCAUUUAAUUAAAAAAAAAAAAAAAGAGUAAAAACAUAAAGAUGUUUGAAUGCCUUAACUUUUCAAAUGCUACUAGAUGCCAAGGUGGUGCCUAGGUGAUGCCUUGACAAUUAUGCUCGAUACACCUUGACUGAUUAUAGAACUUGGACAGAAAGGCUGCACUUGUGUUAUUUCUCUUGGCCAAUUUUGUUUCUAUGUUUUGCUUGGUGUGUGAUCUACAAGACAUUUAUAUAGUUUCUAUAAUAUGUUUUUGUGAACAUAUAUUCUCAGCAUGAUUUAUCCUUCAAUUGAUCUGCAUAGGCAUUUAUGCAUGGGAAAAUCCAGUUCUCGGAUGCUUUUGGAAGAAAGGCAUGCUCUCGAAUAUUUUUCUGUGAGGGGGAGAGUUAAUGUUAAGUCGAUAGUGGGAGAAGUCUUAAGAUAGUCAUUGUUAUUUACUUUAGCUAGUUUUUGUUUGUAAUUAGACUCUUAGUAGAUUUCCUACUAAGAGUUGAUUAAUAAGGGGUGUCUAGUAAGUAUGUGGACAUAAUUAAAGACAUCCAUGAGGGCAUGUUGGUGAGUAUGAGAACUAUGGGAGGUCAUGGUAUAAGGAUCCUCCUUAAGUCUCUAUAUAUUUACACUUAUCAUGGAUGAUUUAAGCAAGAAAAUUCUAGGAGAGGCUCCGUGGUGCACGUUUUUUGCCAAUGAUAUUUAGUGGAUGAUACAGGGAUGUGGAUCAAGCUUGCACAAGGAAGGGGCUCUUGGCCCGAUCGAACGAAGUCCAAUGUUAGACCAGCCGGCUCCCACCUUGGCCCCAUCUAACCAGCCCGAAAGGAAAGCUGGAAAACAUUGUUCAUGAGUUACAUGAACAGUAACUACUUCAGAUUUUGUUCAAUGAAGAUCUUCUAGAAGCCAUACAUAUACAGUUGUCCCUUAUUGUUGAAGAAAGCAACUUCAAAGAAGAGUCCCAGCAGCCACUGAAUUGGCCUAGUUAGCAUAGGAUUUAGUUUCCUGUUUUGGAUUGUCAAGUUGGUCAAGUUAAUUUUCUAUUUGUAACUUAGGCUAGUUUCCUUUUAAGUUCAAUUGUUAGUUGGAGUAAUGUAGUAAGUUAGAAGUAAGGAAGUUUAUUUCCAGCUCUUAGUUUCCUAUUUGAGUUUCUUAUUUGAGUUUCCUUUUUUAUUUCACUCAUUUAAGCCUAUAAAAGAGGCAUCCAUCAAUUGUACUCAGUUACAAAAUUGAUUAGUGAAAAUUGUGAGGCAAACUCUUGGUUUAACAACUGCUAUUGAGAGGUGAGAUGUCUAACCCAUUGAGGGGUGUGUGAUACCCAAAACCGGAGGGCUGAGAUACCCAUUCCAUCAUUCUUCUUCAACCUUUCUCCACCCCUUCAUCGAUUCUAUUUUCUUUUCUAUAUUUAUAUUUAUCCUUUGAGUGCUGAGUAUACUAUAUGAGCUGCUCGUCAAGACACCAAUCAGCAUCUGAUCUGGAGACACAUGACUACCUGCGCAGCCAUUAGAGGACCAGAUCUGAGCAGGGUUUCAAACCAGCCUAAGUCCUUGACCUAUGCUCCAUUGUUGACCCCGUUCUAGGGAUUUGCUCUUCACACCUGGGAGGGCACUCGACCUGCACAGUUUGAUCAACAGAGGCCUGGAUCUCUAGUUCUUGUAACCUCUCCAAAGUUUCCUGAUUGGUGGCAUCAACCAAGAACCUUAGAUCUCCACAAGCAGCCACCCAUUCUGGCCCCAAUUUUGAGGGCUUGUUGAGAACCACAAUGAGGCCCUUCGGUCCAAGUUUGGUGGCCAACUGAAGUUCCUAUCAUCUGUUCUUGAAGGCCAACAUUAGUUUCCUAAUUGGGAACCAGUUUUCAGAUCUCCAUAUCUGGCCGUCCAAUCAGGCCCAACUUUUAAGGGUUUGGUCAGCACUACAAGAGGAGCAUUCGACCAGAAGUUGAGCCCCUACUGAUCCAGCCUACAGCCAGCCGCAGGCUUCCUCCUAUUUCAGCCAGAUUCAAGAUCCUAAUUGGGGUUGGGUAGUUUCUACAUUGCCUUACAUCAGUCAAUGGCAAGGAUUAACAAUAAGUUGGAGUUAUGGAUAUCUAUCUUGGAAUCAAGAGAUCUUAAGAUAAGUAGAACGAAGAUGGAGUACAUGGUGUGUAACUUUAGCUGCAAAGGACUGAUACCAAAGUGGUAAGACUUUAGGAGAGAGAUUUUGCAAAACGAUUGCUUUAGAUAUUUGGGGUCAACCAUAAACAAGGAAGGUGGGAUAGAUGAUGAUGUUUCUCACAAAAUUAAAGUAGGAUGGAUGAAGUGGAGGGGUGCAUCUGGUGUGUUGUGUGAUCGACAUAUUCCUCUAAAGCUUAAAGGAAAAUUCUAUAGGACCGCCGUAAGACCGGCUAUGUUGUAUGGGGCAAAGUGUUGGGUAGUUAUGAAGCGUAACAUGCAUAAACUAAGUGUAGUAGAGAUGAGAUGGAUGUGCAGCAAAAUAGGAGAGAGAGAGUGAGGAAUGACAAGGUAAGAGCUGAUUUAGGUUAAGUGCCGAGAAUGCCGCUUAAGUGGUAUGGCCAUGUUUAACGGAGGCCUUGGGAUGCUCUACUAAGGAGGAGUGAUUAGAUCCAGUUGGAAGGAGGUUGAAGAGCUAGGGGCAGACAUAAAAUGACCAUUGAUGAGUUGGUAGGCAAAGACAUGCAAAGGCUAGGUCUAGAUCCUGGUAUGAUAUCAAAUAGAGCUGUUUGGAGGGAAAAAAUCCAUGUUGCUGACUGUGUUUAGGUGGGAUGUCCCAGAUAUAUUGCAUUUCUGUUUCAUUUCUGUCUUUCCCCCUUUUCUUUCUUUUUUCCUUGUAUCUUAUACUUGGCAGAUCCAUGUAGCUGAACUCAUUUAGUUGGGACAAGGCUGAGUUGUUGUUGUGCUGUCCACAAUAGAGGUUCUGGUUGUUGCGAUCAAGCUUUGUCACAAAUUCUAUGCUUAUACUGCAUGGUGCAAUAGGGCAAGUGCCUUUGAAUUAUUUUUGAAAGUACAGUGCUUGUUUUUCACUUCUGAAUCCACCCUCCCCCGCCCCUCCGUUUUGCCGUAGGAUACCAUUUUACAGGUUUGCAAGAGGCACUGCAGGAUAUUCAUUAUCCAGCAUGAUUGUCAAAUGAACUUGUCAGAUUUAGUUGUGCACAGACCAAGGUUGUUUAUGCCACUGUUGGUUAGUAUGCUGUUGGGUUAGAGCCUCACCCCAUCCUGGAAUACAUACAUUAAUUCUUUGAUACGACAUUGUGUGAGUGGGAAGAGGCAUGUUAGGUCUUAUCCACUCACUCUGCAACUCUGUAAUUAUUGCAGCAGCUCAAACCAUGUGAAGACGUGAAGAAUCAAACAUUCUUCUAGGAAAUUGACAGACACUACAGGUUUUUGCUGUGCUUUAUCUGUAAUAGCUUAAACAUGUUUUUUUCCCCCUCAAUAAAUACUUGACGUGAUUGAGCCUGCAGCAUAAAUACUGUACACUUGUUCCCAUGCAGUCUACUUGGCUUAAACUUUGAAUGGGAUCUCUAUUGUAAUUCCAUUUGGCUUGGAAGUGGUCUUUCGCCUGUCAUUGGCAGUUUUGACUUGUGAGUUUACUUGUAAGAUAAAGAACAGGUGUGUCUUAACUCCAAAUUUUCUCCUCACUGCAGCUGAAAAAGUAUCCAAA